rnacentral:rRNA from 1 species
UACGGAGGGUGCAAGCGUUAUCCGGAUUCACUGGGUUUAAAGGGUGCGUAGGUGGGUUGGUAAGUCAGUGGUGAAAUCUCCGUGCUUAACAUGGAAACUGCCAUUGAUACUACUGAUCUUGAAUUUUCAGGAGGUAAGCGGAAUAUGUCAUGUAGCGGUGAAAUGCUUAGAUAUGACAUAGAACACCAAUUGCGAAGGCAGCUCACUACACGGUCAUUGACACUGAGGCACGAAAGCGUGGGGAUCAAACAGG